GCUUACGGCCAUACCACCCUGAGCACGCCCGAUCUCGUCUGAUCUCGGAGGCUAAGCAGGGUCGGGCCUGGUUAGUACUUGGAUGGCAGACCGCCUGGGAAUACCAGGUGCUGUAAGCA
rnacentral:rRNA from 1 species